UGGGGAAUCUUGCGCAAUGGGCGAAAGCCUGACGCAGCAACGCCGCGUGGAGGAUGAAGGCUCUCGGGUCGUAAACUCCUUUCAGCAGGAACGAAAUUGACGGUACCUGCAGAAGAAGCACCGGCUAACUACGUGCCAGCAGCCGCGGUAACACGUAGGGUGCGAGCGUUGUCCGGAUUUAUUGGGCGUAAAGGGCCCGUAGGCGGUUUGGUAAGUCGGGUGUGAAAACUCUGGGCUCAACCCAGAGACGCCACCCGAUACUGCUAUGACUUGAGUCUGGUAGGGGAGUGCGGAAUUCCUGGUGUAGCGGUGAAAUGCGCAGAUAUCAGGAGGAACACCGGUGGCGAAGGCGGCACUCUGGGCCAGUACUGACGCUGAUGGGCGAAAGCGUGGGGAGCAAACAGGAUUAGAUACCCCCGUAGUCC
rnacentral:rRNA from 1 species